CCUACGGGGGGCUGCAGUGGGGAAUAUUGGACAAUGGGGGCAACCCUGAUCCAGCCAUGCCGCGUGUGUGAAGAAGGCCCUCGGGUUGUAAAGCACUUUCAGUGAGGAAGAACGCCUGGUGGUUAAUACCCAUCAGGAAAGACAUCACUCACAGAAGAAGCACCGGCUAACUCCGUGCCAGCAGCCGCGGUAAUACGGAGGGUGCGAGCGUUAAUCGGAAUUACUGGGCGUAAAGCGCGCGUAGGUGGCUUGAUAAGCCGGUUGUGAAAGCCCCGGGCUCAACCUGGGAACGGCAUCCGGAACUGUCCAGCUAGAGUGCAGGAGAGGAAGGUAGAAUUCCCGGUGUAGCGGUGAAAUGCGUAGAGAUCGGGAGGAAUACCAGUGGCGAAGGCGGCCUUCUGGACUGACACUGACACUGAGGUGCGAAAGCGUGGGUAGCAAACAGGAGUAGAUACCCCAGUAGUC
rnacentral:rRNA from 1 species